CCUACGGGAGGCAGCAGUGGGGAAUUUUGGACAAUGGGCGCAAGCCUGAUCCAGCAAUGCCGCGUGAGUGAAGAAGGCCUUCGGGUUGUAAAGCUCUUUUGUCAGGGAAGAAACGGUGGGGGCUAAUAUCCUCCACUAAUGACGGUACCUGAAGAAUAAGCACCGGCUAACUACGUGCCAGCAGCCGCGGUAAUACGUAGGGUGCAAGCGUUAAUCGGAAUUACUGGGCGUAAAGCGUGCGCAGGCGGUUUUGUAAGUUUGUCGUGAAAUCCCCGGGCUCAACCUGGGAAUGGCGAUGAAGACUGCAAGGCUAGAAUCUGGCAGAGGGGGGUAGAAUUCCACGUGUAGCAGUGAAAUGCGUAGAGAUGUGGAGGAACACCGAUGGCGAAGGCAGCCCCCUGGGUCAAGAUUGACGCUCNUGCACGAAG
rnacentral:rRNA from 1 species